ACCAGCAGCCAUAUCACUCUGCAACUCACAACUGGCAGCCCACUGAAGCUCAGCAGGUGUGAGCCUGGUCAGUACCUGGAUGUGAGACCUCCUGGGAAAAACUAAGGUUGCUGCUGGAA
rnacentral:rRNA from 1 species